GCAGCGACCGGCCGGGCGGCGGCGAGUGGCGCUACCUGUUGACGCUGCGCGGUGCCGCCUCGCCCGCCGUGGCGCCGGCGUGGAGCGCGGGGAGAGGGCCCUGCGGCCGGCCUGCGUCCCGGGCGGGUGGGCGCUCCCCGUGUCCCCCGGCGCGGUGCCUCAGACCUGCGUCCCUCCACCAAGCCGCUAAAAUUACGGGUUGGCCGCGGAAUCUAAAAAUAGCGGCGGCGGAGACUUGUCAGCUAGUUGUUGGGAUGCUGACGUCGGGGCUCCGGGAGCAGGUGCCCUGCUGGAAGGAGACCCGGUGUCCGGCUGGGAGGGACCCCCGUCCGGCGCUCCCUCGUUCUCCGGGGCGUGGACCCCAAGCCGAUGCUCCCUCGGCCCCCGGGACGCGGACCACCGGCCGGGCCCCUUCGUUCCCGAGACGCGGACCCCCGACAUGUGUCCUCUCCCUUCCCGGGAUGCGGACCCCGGCCAGUGACCCCUCCGCCCCUGGGACGCGGACCCGCGUCAGCUGCGGGAGGUGGACGUGCCCAAUCCGGGGCGGAAUCGCCCGCUGGCUUCUCGAGUGCGAGCUGACCCGGGCGGAGCGCCGGGCAACUUGGUGGCUGGUGUCCGGAAGGUGACCGCGGCCCCCACACCUGGCAGAGUCGUGACGUCUGUUCUUAAAACCGUGAUUUCACGCCUGCCUCCUUAAAAAGCAAAUCAGACAGUAAACAGGAUGGAUUGGACACAGGCUGAAGUUGCCUAUGAAGAGUCAAUUCGGGCUUUUGCGGUUUGGUGGCUUUGGAUUGGUAACUAGUUCUUAUUUCCUGAUUCGGCCCUGGAGGCACGGUGAUUGAGAUUUUAGAUUCCUGCGCCUGUUGAAAGGUUUUUACAUUUUAUUCCGGGACAGAUAGAGCUGAAACAAUUUCUGUACUUGAGGAAGAAGUGGGAAUGUGUUGUUAUGUAAGCCAAAUUCAGAAAUCAAAAAAUUCUACAAAAAUCUUUUUAUCGUAUAUCAGCGCCCCCAGAAAUUAUUAAAACAUACAAGGCAUCCUGUAGAAACCUAGAGCUUCUCAGUCCCCUCGGUUAAACUUAAAUCACUGUCUCCUGCUAAAGUGCUAAAUGUGAAAAACAUAGGAAUUUGUUCUUAAACUUGUUUCCUGCUUCUAAUACGUGCCAAGACCUGUUUUUUUUGUUUGUUUGUUUGUUUUUUUAUGUCGUUCCGGGAAAUAAACAUUAAAUCACCUGAAGCGUGCAGUUGGGGGGGACUAUGCGCAGUUGAUUUUUUUUUUAGCUUAAAAAUUUUAAGAAAAACAUUAUAAAGGGGAUAUGCCAUUUCAUUGCUUAUCCUCUGCUUCGAAAAUGUAGACCCUUGAACAGCUUGCCCGUCUUGUCAACCUUUUUUUUUUUUUUUAAAGGGAAGCCAUAAUAGACUUAAAUGGUAAAAUUAAACAGUCCAAAGAAAACAGUAGUUUCUCUCUCAAGUCUGAUUCUUGGUAUUCCCCCCCCCCCCCCGCCCGCCAGAGGCAAAUAGCUUUUCUAACCUAUUGUGUGUUCUUCUGGAAAUCUGUGUGCACACAUACUCUGCAUAGAAGACCCCAUGUUUAUGUAAGGAAAAGCUCCCUGCACUGGUACAUACUUUGCCUUUUCUACUUAAGAGUUUUGUGGGUGUUUAUCACACAUAUCUUUGUCUCAUUUGUUGAAAUGGCUGCAUAAUAUUUUCCUUUUUUUAUGUAAAAUAAUUUUUAAUGUUUAUUUUUUUUAUUUUUUAUUUUUUUUUAACGUUUUAUUUUUGAGAGACAGUGUGUGUGUGGAGGAGGGGCAGAGAGAGAGGGAGACACAGAAUCCAAAGCAGGCUCCAGGCUCUGAGCUGUCAGCACAGUGUCCAACGCAGGGCUUGAACCCACAAACCCCGAGAUCAUGACCUGAGCGGAAGUCAGACGCUUAACUGACUAAGCCACCCAGGCGCCCGUUGAGUAUUUUUUUUUUUUAAUGUUUAUUUAUUUAUUUUGAGAGAGAGAGAAUCCCAGGCAGGCUCCGUGCUCAGCACAGGUUCAUGGGGCUCGAACCCAUGAACCAUGAGCCAAAAUCAAAAGUUGGAUGUCCAACCGAACCACCCAGGCAUCCAGCAGGUUUGGUUUACUUUUCAUUCAUUGAUUGACCUUACCAACAAAAAAUGAUUUUAUUCAGGAAUAAAAGAGAAUUGCAAUGUGGGAAAAACAAGCUGUGAGCAAAACUGUAGGCAAGUCCUGGCAGGAUUACUUUUUUGGUUUUCUUGUUUUAAACCUCAACCAGCCAAGUAUUUAUCUAUCUAUCUAUCUAUCAAUCAAUAUGAGAGAAUACUAACACACACACACACACACACACACACACACACACACACACACACGAGAGGUGGUGGGGUGGGGGAAGGGCAGAGAGAAUCCCAAGCGGGCUCUGCACGGUCAGUGCAGAGCCCAGCAUGAGGCUCAGUCUCACAAACUGAGAUCAUGACCUGAGCCAAAAAUCAAGAGCAGGACGUUUAAUUGACUGAGUCACCCAGGUGCUCCUAUUUAAUUAGUUAUUUAAAACAGAGUGAGUACAGUUGAGGGAGGGGGAGAGAGAGAGAUAGAGACCCAAGUAAGCUUCAUGCUCAGAGCAGAGCCCCCCACUUGGGGCUUGAUCCCACGACCCUGGGAGCUGAAAUCAAGAGUUGGCCCCUUCCCCCUGCCCAUCCCUUGCUUACGUACUCCCUCUCAAAAAUAAACAUAUUUUUAAAAAUUAAGAGAAAAAAAAGUUGCUCCCUUAACUGACUGACCCACUCAGGUGCCUGAGGGGUUUUUUUUUUUUUUUU